rnacentral:rRNA from 1 species
CCCUUAGAUGUCCGGGGCUGCACGCGCGCUACACUGAAGGAAUCAGCGUGCUAAAACCAUUGUCGAAAGGCAUUGGUAAACCCAUUAAAAUCCUACGUGAUUGGGAUCGGGAAUUGCAAUUAUUUCCCUUGAACGAGGAAUUCCCAGUAAGUGUGGGUCAUAAGCUCGCGUUGAUUACGUCCCUGCCCUUUGUACACACCGCCCGUCGCUGCCCGGGACUGAGCCGUUUCGAGAAAAGCGGGGACUGCUGCUGUCGGGGCUUUCGGGCCUUGGCUUCGGUGGAAACCGCUUUAAUCGCAGUGGCUUGAACCGGGCAAAAGUCGCAACA